AACGAACGCUGGCGGCAUGCCUAACACAUGCAAGUCGAACGAGACCUUCGGGUCUAGUGGCGCACGGGUGCGUAACGCGUGGGAACCUGCCCUUAGGUUCGGAAUAACUCCCCGAAAGGGGUGCUAAUCCCGGAUAAUGUCUUCGGACCAAAGAUUUAUCGCCUUUGGAUGGGCCCGCGUUGGAUUAGCUAGUUGGUAGGGUAAAAGCCUACCAAGGCGACGAUCCAUAGCUGGUCUGAGAGGAUGAUCAGCCACACUGGGACUGAGACACGGCCCAGACUCCUACGGGAGGCAGCAGUGGGGAAUAUGGGAAAAUGGGCGAAAGCCUGAGCCAGCAAUGCCGCGUGAGUGAUGAAGGCCUUAGGGUUGUAAAGCUCUUUUACCCGGGAUGAUAAUGACAGUACCGGGAGAAUAAGCUCCGGCUAACUCCGUG
rnacentral:rRNA from 1 species